AAAGAAGAAAAUGUAUAAUAAAGACACAAAGACUUGCUUUUCUUUUUCUUUCUUCUUUGUGUUUUGGUUUUUUGUUUGUUUAUUUGUUUGUUUGUGAGACAGGGCUUCACUGUGUAGCGCUUGGCUGUCCUGGAUCUCAUUUUGUAGACCUGGGUGGCCUUAAACUCAGAGAUCUGCCUGCCUCUGCCUCCCAAGUGGUGUGUGCCACCACCAUCCAACCAAGAGAUGAGUAGCUGUUAAAGGCUAGGCUCACAACCAAAAAUAUAAGACAUGCCUUUUAAUUUUCUUUCUUUCUUUUCCCUCCUCUCUCUGCUCCCCGUUCUUUUUGAGUGCUAGGGAUGGAAUCCACUGAACUGUAGCCCCAGUCCUGGAAAAUCGGGGGCUUCUUCUGAUAAAAAGCAGUGACUUUUUACUUGAGCCUCCCAUGCCUGGAGGGUAGUUUAAAACAGAACAAAACCUUGUCAUCUCUGUCUCCAUUUUGUCUUUUUCUAUUACUCUGUUCUUCUGACUUGCAGUCCUUUUAGGCUCCAGGAGAAAGAGGUUGUUAUAAGUUGAGAUGAACAGCACCACCACCACCACCACCACCAAGCAACAGCACCACCACCACCAAGCAACAGCACCACCACCACCACCAAGCAACAGCACCACCACCACCACCAAGCAACAGCACCACCACCACCACCACCAAGCAACAGCACCACCACCACCACCAAGCAACAGCACCGUCUUUUUAUUAGGGACAAGACCAAGACUGACUAGUCCUGGGCUAGCCAUCAACCAGACCACAGGCUGACCAACGCCUUCUGCAUCUCAAGAUGGCCUUGAACUCGCUGUGCAGCUGAGGCUGACCACCUCGUGAUCCUCCUGCCCCGACAUUCCAAACGCAGAGAUGACAGGCAGGCACCAGGACACUCCGCUGUGAACUCCUUACUGACAGCCUUCCCUGGGCCUCCCUCUCUGACCUGUCUUCUCUGCCCACUGUGCUUCCCAUAUCUUCAGAGACUCACCUUCUGACCCCCAUCGCCCCAUGGGUACCCAAAGCCACUCACUCAGCCUGAUUCUCAGCAAACCUUGGGCUGGUCCACUAGUUCCUGUUGGCAAACUUCUUGGACCUCCCAUUGCUUCGUCUCUGCCCCCGGCCCUUCGAUCCCGGCUGUCAUUAUACCCCAUUUAACUUCCACUGACCUCUCAGUAGGUCCGACCAUCCAAUUAGUCCCCAUUGAUCCCCCCAACUGAAUCCUUUAUGACUUUCAUGGUGCCUCUGGCCAGCUUCCUACUGAAUCAUUUUAUGAUUCCUAAUGACUGUCCCAAUUUACUAACCUCUGGUGUCUCCUAGUUCUUCUUCUUCUUCUCUCUCUCUCUUUUUUUAAUUAAUACUGAGUCUCACUGUGUUGCCCAGGCUGUUUCAAACUCCAAUCUCCUGCCUCAGGCUCAGGAGUAAUUAUGACAAGUGUCACUGCACUCCACUUUAAUCCCAGCCUCUCCCUCUUCCCCUCUCCCACAGUGC
rnacentral:lncRNA from 1 species